rnacentral:rRNA from 1 species
GGGGAAUAUUGGACAAUGGGGGCAACCCUGAUCCAGCCAUGCCGCGUGUGUGAAGAAGGCCUUUUGGUUGUAAAGCACUUUGAGCAGUGAAGAAGACUCCGUGGUUAAUACCCACGGACGAUGACAUUAGCUGCAGAAUAAGCACCGGCUAACUCUGUGCCAGCAGCCGCGGUAAUACAGAGGGUGCAAGCGUUAAUCGGAAUUACUGGGCGUAAAGCGAGCGUAGGUGGCUUGAUAAGUCAGAUGUGAAAUCCCCGGGCUUAACCUGGGAACUGCAUCUGAUACUGUUAGGCUAGAAUAGGUGAGAGGAAGGUAGAAUUCCAGGUGUAGCGGUGAAAUGCGUAGAGAUCUGGAGGAAUACCGAUGGCGAAGGCAGCCUUCUGGCAUCAUAUUGACACUGAGGUUCGAAAGCGUGGGUAGCAAACAGGAUUAGAUACCCUGGUAGUCCACGCCGUAAACGAUGUCUACUAGUCGUUGGGUCCCUUGAGGACUUAGUGACGCAGCUAACGCAAUAAGUAGACCGCCUGGGGAGUACGGCCGCAAGGUUAAAACUCAAAUGAAUUGACGGGGGCCCGCACAAGCGGUGGAGCAUGUGGUUUAAUUCGAUGCAACGCGAAGAACCUUACCUGGUCUUGACAUAUCUAGAAUCCUGCAGAGAUGCGGGAGUGCCUUCGGGAAUUAGAAUACAGGUGCUGCAUGGCUGUCGUCAGCUCGUGUCGUGAGAUGUUGGGUUAAGUCCCGCAACGAGCGCAACCCUUGUCUUAGUUACCAGCGGGUUAAGCCGGAACUCUAGGAUACUGCCAGUGACAAACUGGAG